CAUUUGUCUUCUCUUGGUUUGGUCCACUGAAAUCUCUUGUGAGUAAUAAAGCCCCUGCUGUUGGUUCAAGGCUCUUUAAGAACUUUUGCUUUAACCAUGGAACUAAACACUUCACCACCACAACAUAUUAUUCCAACCUCUGUUUUGCAGAAUGGGUUAAUAGGAACCUUAAGGCUGCUCUUAGUAUUUACCAUGCCAAGACUCCAACCCACUGGGACGCGACUUUACCAAUGCUUAACCAGGCUUUUAAUUUGGCCCACCAUAAGGCUACCGGGGCAAUGCCUGUGUCACUUAUGUUUGCGUACACUCUCAGUUCUCCAUUAUCUAAUCUCUGGAGUAUUAGUGACAUUUUGCUUGUGACUAUAGCUCUGGUGGCCCUAAGAGAAAAUAGGGAGCGGGCCAGGUGAAAUAUUAAUUUGGCUCAUCAUCGCCAGGCUGUUAAAUAUAAUCAAGGACAUCGCCCCUUUAAGGGUAAGAUCGGCAAUCUCAUUUUUAUCAGGAACUGUGCCACUAGAACUGGGCAAGAUGUUAAGGGGAAAAUGAGUCCGUCGUAUAGAGGUCCUAGCAGGAUUAUUAGAAUAAUCAUUCAGGUUAAUCUUGAGGUUAGGGAGAUGUCGUCUGGCAAAGUAUUUCGCGUCCGUGUUAGCCAGGUUAAACAUGGAGUUGGGCAAGAGUGAGUCCGGCUGAGAGUGGUUGGCUGCUUGGGGCGAGGUCCAAGUAUGAGUGGGGGAGUUGAUAUGUCACAAGGCUGGUGCCAGUACCUCUUUCUUGUAUUGUAAUUUUUUCCAUAGAUUUCGCUUCGGCUGGCUGCAAGUCAGUUGUUUAUCAUGGGUUUGUCUAUUUAAGUCAGCAGCAUCGAGGCCACAGAUCUCACUGUGUGGUCUGUCAGUUGUGAUUAGAACACCAUCAGGAGGUUGGCCCCUACUUGGUGCGCAUGCUCAUUGCACGUGGUAUUACUGGAUUGCUGCGGCCAGAGAUGGUGGAAAGGUUUUGGGUUCUGGCAUGAGGUGUGGUGUUUGGCUUUUCUCACCAUCCAGUGCAUGUUGAGAAGAAGAGCUUGCCGGAGCAUCACCUGGCAUUAACCGUUUGCCUGGGCAUAUGGUGUGUGUUUGAUUUAAGCAGGUGCAAUUGUGUGCUUAUCUUUAGUUUGAAUUUGGUGAUGAGUCUGGUAUGUCAUAGUUAUGUCAGACAUGGCAUGAUAACAGGGCUUGGGCUUUCCGUCUUUGUUAGUUUCCUAUCACUUGAUGAAGGAUCUGCAGCUAUAUGUAAGGAAGCUUGGUGAGCUCCUCAUUAUUGAGUAAUGGUAUAUUUAAAAUUGUUGUAACCUUGGUGAUUAAGUACCAAAAUUUUUACCUUAGUUUACGAGUAACAAAAUACCAUGCUGUCUCAUAAAACUACAUCAGAUUCCAUGAGAGUGUAGUUCUGGUGGGCUCUUGCCCAUUUAAAGUAAUACUCAGCUGUUACUAUCACGUUUCAAGGAACAAUCUUAUUUAUGCAGGUAUUGUAGUAAUUAAAUGAAUUCUUGUGUGUUGAGUUAAAAAAAAAAAAAAAAUAAAUAAAGUUGGUGAGCUAUCCUGUUAUAAUGUUGUGUUUUAUUCUUUUAUGUAAUAUGAACAUGCAAUUGCAAGUGUGCUGUUGUAGUUGAUUUAUGUUUCAGUUGUGUGGAGCGCAGUGUAUUCCGUCCGGUAUGGUGGGGCAUGACACUAGGGCUUGACGACUUGGUCAUCGACAGUGGAACUGUGAUUCGUUAGACUGGGCACCAUGUUGCUGGCCUUCUGUCUCGAUCUUAUGUUUAAGCUGAGUAUUGCUGUUCUCUUUGUUCCUGGCCCUGUCAGGUCAUUACGCAGUUGGGGUCAGUCUCACUAUGAGGCGGAAGGAUGUGCUCGUGGGGACAAAGGAGGAAAACACACUCGGCCAUCAGCGGUGCAGUCAGUCUACCUUGCAGACGGUUGCGAGUUUGUGGUGGACCUGCCUGAUGUCAACUCUGGGCGCUGUUCGUCACAUUGCCUUGGUGUCUGUUUUCUCGGAGAGAACCAUCCCUUGAGACCAUUUCGAACAACGCUCUCCAUCGAAGGUUUUUCUGCGGUUUGGGGUGUGUGGGAACAGCGCCACAUUCUGCUUUGGUGCUCAGAAGCUGUGACUUGUCUAAUGGGAAGUGACUCCCGGUUGGGCCCCAGCAUUUAGGUGUUGUUUUGGAAGGCUGGUCUGCUGCUUCCCACAUUUUAAGUUAAGUCACCUUUUGCCCAAGGCAGCCUGGCAUCACUGACCAUUUAAUCUGUGUCAUGUAUUUAAAAAAAGGCAGUUUUUUAAUUUUCUUGUGAAUCAAUUGUAUUAAUUAACUUGUGCUCCUUGUGUUAUUUGGGUUCAUAACGAACUGGUGUGCUUGUAAAUCACUUUCAUAUUGAAGAUUCUUGCCUUAAAAAGCUAUCUUUGCCACCUUUUAAAAUCACCUUCAGAUUGUAAUUUACAUUUCUUAAGUAUUGAAAUCUCCGUGGCUAAUCUUUUAAGUCAUGUGAUUGCGUAUGUUGAUAUUGUCUUAAACAUGGCCAUGUGUUGAUUGCCUCUUAUCUGUUUUA